rnacentral:rRNA from 1 species
AACGAACGCUGGCGGCGCGCCUAACACAUGCAAGUCGAACGAGAAUCCGGGGGCAACCCGGUAGUAAAGUGGCAAACGGGUGAGGAAUACAUGGGUAACCUACCCUUGAGAAGGGAAUAACCCGGCCGAAAAGGUGAGCUAAUACCCCUAGUAACGCUAUCUUUUUUUCGAAAAGGAUAGGAAAGCCGGGUCGAGGACCUGGUACUCAAGGAGGGGCUCAUGUCCUAUCAGCUUGUUGGUGGGGUAACGGCCUACCAAGGCUACGACGGGUAGCUGGUCUGAGAGGAUGAUCAGCCACACUGGCACUGAGAUACGGGCCAGACUCCUACGGGAGGCAGCAGUGAGGAAUAUUGCGC